UACGUAGGGGGCAAGCGUUGUCCGGAAUUAUUGGGCGUAAAGAGCGCGUAGGCGGUCCGAUAAGUCGGCUGUGAAAGUCCAGGGCUCAACCCUGGAAAGCCGGCCGAUACUGUCGGACUAGAGUCCGGAAGAGGCAAGUGGAAUUCCCGGUGUAGCGGUGAAAUGCGCAGAUAUCGGGAGGAACACCGGUGGCGAAGGCGGAUCUCUGGGCCUGAUCUGACGCUGAGGCGCGAAAGCUAGGGGAGCGAACAGG
rnacentral:rRNA from 1 species